ACACUCCUACGGGAGGCAGCAGUGAGGAAUAUUGGACAAUGGGUGGAAGCCUGAUCCAGCCAUCCCGCGUGCAGGAAGACGGCCCUAUGGGUUGUAAACUGCUUUUAUCUGGGGAUAAACCUACUUACGUGUAAGUAGCUGAAGGUACCAGACGAAUAAGCACCGGCUAACUCCGUGCCAGCAGCCGCGGUAAUACGGAGGGUGCAAGCGUUAUCCGGAUUUAUUGGGUUUAAAGGGUCCGUAGGCGGACUGAUAAGUCAGUGGUGAAAUCCGACAGCUUAACUGUCGAACUGCCAUUGAUACUGUUAGUCUUGAGUAAGGUUGAAGUGGCUGGAAUAAGUAGUGUAGCGGUGAAAUGCAUAGAUAUUACUUAGAACACCAAUUGCGAAGGCAGGUAACUAAGUCUUAACUGACGCUGAUGGACGAAAGCGUGGGGAGCGAACAGGAUUAGAAACCCUUGUAGUCCCA
rnacentral:rRNA from 1 species